rnacentral:rRNA from 1 species
GACGAACGCUGGCGGCGUGCUUAACACAUGCAAGUCGAACGGAAAGGCCCUGCUUGCAGGGUACUCGAGUGGCGAACGGGUGAGUAACACGUGGGUUAUCUGCCCUGCACUUCGGGAUAAGCCUGGGAAACUGGGUCUAAUACCGGAUAGGAGCCAUUUUUAGUGUGAUGGUUGGAAAGUUUUUUCGGUGUAGGAUGAGCUCGCGGCCUAUCAGCUUGUUGGUGGGGUAAUGGCCCACCAAGGCGGCGACGGGUAGCCGGCCUGAGAGGGUGGACGGCCACAUUGGGACUGAGAUACGGCCCAGACUCCUACGGGAGGCAGCAGUGGGGAAUAUUGCACAAUGGGCGCAAGCCUGAUGCAGCGACGCCGCGUGGGGGAUGACGGCCUUCGGGUUGUAAACUCCUUUCGCUAGGGACGAAGCUUUUUGUGACGGUACCUAGAUAAGAAGCACCGGCUAACUACGUG